AUUGAACGCUGGCGGCAGGCCUAACACAUGCAAGUCGAACGGUAACAGGAAGCAGCUUGCUGCUUUGCUGACGAGUGGCGGACGGGUGAGUAAUGUCUGGGAAACUGCCUGAUGGAGGGGGAUAACUACUGGAAACGGUAGCUAAUACCGCAUAACGUCGCAAGACCAAAGAGGGGGACCUUCGGGCCUCUUGCCAUCGGAUGUGCCCAGAUGGGAUUAGCUAGUAGGUGGGGUAACGGCUCACCUAGGCGACGAUCCCUAGCUGGUCUGAGAGGAUGACCAGCCACACUGGAACUGAGACACGGUCCAGACUCCUACGGGAGGCAGCAGUGGGGAAUAUUGCACAAUGGGCGAAAGCCUGAUGCAGCCAUGCCGCGUGUAUGAAGAAGGCCUUCGGGUUUUAAAGUACUUUCAGCGGGGAGGAAGGGAGUAAAGUUAAUACCUUUGCUCAUUGACGUUACCCGCAGAAGAAGCACCGGCUAACUCCGUG
rnacentral:rRNA from 1 species